rnacentral:rRNA from 1 species
AUUGAACGCUGGCGGCAUGCCUUACACAUGCAAGUCGAACGGCAGCACGGAGCUUGCUCUGGUGGCGAGUGGCGAACGGGUGAGUAAUAUAUCGGAACGUACCCAAGAGUGGGGGAUAACGUAGCGAAAGUUACGCUAAUACCGCAUACGAUCUAAGGAUGAAAGCAGGGGAUCGCAAGACCUUGUGCUCCUGGAGCGGCCGAUAUCUGAUUAGCUAGUUGGUGAGGUAAAGGCUCACCAAGGCAUCGAUCAGUAGCUGGUCUGAGAGGACGACCAGACACACUGGAACUGAGAAACGGUCCAGACUCCUACGGGAGGCAGCAGUGGGGAAUUUUGGACAAUGGGGGCAACCCUGAUCCAGCAAUGCCGCGUGAGUGAAGAAGGCCUUCGGGUUGUAAAGCUCUCUUGUCAGGGAAGAAACGGUGAAGGCUAAUAUCCUUUGCUAAUGACGGUACCUGAAGAAUAAGCACCGGCUAACUACGUGCCAGCCGCCGCGGUAA